GGGGAUGUAGCUCAGUGAGAGAGUGCUUGCCUAGCAUGCAUGAGACCCUGAGUUCAAGCCCCAGUACCACCA
rnacentral:tRNA from 1 species